AGUCCUGUAGCUCAGUGGUUAGAGCGCUCGCUUCCCAAGUGAGAGGAUCUGGGUUCAAUUCCCAGGAGGGCGA